rnacentral:rRNA from 1 species
GAUGAACGCUGGCGGCGUGCCUAAUACAUGCAAGUCGAGCGAACAGACGAGGAGCUUGCUCCUCUGACGUUAGCGGCGGACGGGUGAGUAACAGGUGGAUAACCUACCUAUAAGACUGGGAUAACUUCGGGAAACCGGAGCUAAUACCGGAUAAUAUAUUGAACCGCAUGGUUCAAUAGUGAAAGACGGUUUUGCUGUCACUUAUAGAUGGAUCCGCGCCGCAUUAGCUAGUUGGUAAGGUAACGGCUUACCAAGGCAACGAUGCGUAGCCGACCUGAGAGGGUGGUCGGCCACACUGGAACUGAGACACGGUCCAGACUCCUACGGGAGGCAGCAGUAGGGAAUCUUCCGCAAUGGGCGAAAGCCUGACGGAGCAACGCCGCGUGAGUGAUGAAGGUCUUCGGAUCGUAAAACUCUGUUAUUAGGGAAGAACAAAUGUGUAAGUAACUAUGCACGUCUUGACGGUACCUAAUCAGAAAGCCACGGCUAACUACGUG